GUAGCAGUUUGUGAAGAAAAGCUUUUUAUGCAUGAAGACAUGACUAUUAAUAUUUUCUUUCCUCCAAAAAACAUCGAACCAAAAGACCAGAAUCAAAAAUGGACACAAAUCGUUAUUGUUUUGACAGGGUGCAUUCCAAUUGCUCAAACCGGUGCCCUUCAUGCAUGGCCGUCUCCUUCAAUCUUAAAGCUCAUGUCAAACGAAUCGGACAUUCCUAUGACGUUUGAAGAAACGUCUUAUUUCGCCAUUAUUCAUCCGAUUACAAUAAUGAUUUUCUGUCCACUCAGCGGAUUUCUACUAAACAUAAUUGGACGUAAAAGGCAUAUAAUUCUAGUGUCCGUUCCCCAAUUCACGACCUGGCUCAUGAUAGGAUUCGCGGCGAAUUCGUUAAUGCUUCAUGCAUCCAGAGUAUUGGCAGGAAUCGGAGAUGCCCUAAUAUACAUAUCCCUUCCAGUUUAUAUAGCAGAAAUAACAGAAAAAAGACUGAGAGGAUCUUUAGGUUCUGCUUUCAUGAUCAGUUUCCUUGUGGGACAAAUUACAAUGAACGCGAUCGGAUAUUACUUCACCAUACACACGGCCGCAUUUGUCAUGAGUAGUUUCUCAAUUACUCAUUUGAUAAUUUUCGGGUGGAUGCCGCAAUCUCCUUAUUGGUUAAUAGAGAAAAAUCGGUUAGAAGAAGCUAAACGAGAGCUCCAAAUCCUUCGAUGGAGAUCAAAUGUUGACGAAGAAUUCGAUGAAAUCGAACAAGCUGUAAAGAGACAAAUGGCGGAGAAGAGUUCCUACAAAGACAUAUUCGUCAGUAAGAGUAACAGAAAAGCGUUCUUAAUAGCAACACUGACAAGACUGACGCAGCAAUAUUCCGGUAUAAAAGCAUAUUUUACUUACAUGCAGUACAUCUUUCAAGAAGCUGGCGGUGACAUACCAAGUCACGUCUCAACUAUAUUGUGUACGACACUGACGACAAUUGGAACAUUCAUAGCAUCCAGAUUUAUUGACAAAUUCGGCCGCAAGCCCCUCUUCACGAUCUCAGCUUAUGGAUGCACCAUCACCCUUUUCUGUCAAGCCGUUUACUUGUAUGUCAGUGACUAUGUCGACACAUCCCCAGUAAGUUGGUUCCCGUUGGCGAUUAUGUUAGCUUACAUCGCGUUGUACGCUGUGGGAUGCUGCAUAAUACCCACGUUGCUUCUUAGCGAGUUAUUCUCGGCCAGCAUCAAAUCCAAAGCUGUUCUGCUUCAGAUUAUGAUAUUCGCAUUUGCGUUGAUGACUGCAACCAAAAUAUUUCAAGUACUUGCCGACAAUUUUGGAUUGUUUGUUCCAUUCUUGUUUUUCGCACUUUCGGCAGCUUGCUUCACUAUUGCAGUUUCUUUCAUAUUUAUCGAAACAAAGAACAAAACGUUGGAAGAAAUACAGCAAGAACUUAUGCGAACGACGAGUUGAUUACCUUCGAUUAUGUACCCAUAAUAUUUUUACAUCAUUAAGUCAUAAAUAAACGUUAUUUAAAAAGUAGAAAGUUUGAUCUUCGGUAAAUGCUUGAUGAACUGUGUAGCUUUAUCAAAUGCGCUUCUGCACCAUUUAAAAAAGAUUCAAAAUUGCAGUUUAUAAGCAAAUUAAUGAAUAUAAUAAUGAUCUCAAUAUAGUGCUAGCAAACGAAUUAUUGAUGCAACUGUAAGUUAGAUUGUAGAACAAUUGUAGAAAAUCAAUGUGUCGUGGCAUCUGACGCAUGUUCUGACGGGUCAUUCAAUUUUUGGUGUACCUUAUCAUCAUCUUCGAGUUAUAACCAUUAUGUCUAAUUUCGUCUUCUAAUCGAAAGCAAUAAUUAUUUAAUUUCUGUUAAAUAUCAGCGCAUUGUAAAAUUAAAAUGAAAAAAAAAGUUUUUUUAGCAAGGAUGAGGUUGCGUUUAUCCAGUUUUUGACUAAAAACGGAAAAUUGCAUAAAACUUAUUGAAUUACGUUAGCCGCAAGGCUACGCGGAGAUUAUGGACAAAAGCUCUUUUUGAAAAUAAGUGUUCUAAUAAAAAUGUGUCAAGAAAACUGAUUCAUUUUCUAAAAUAGCGUACAUAAAACACGAUCUAAUAUCGCGUUUAAAAAUUACAACUAAAUACGUACAGAUAUAGUUGAUUAAAUGGCAGUUUAAGAAGGGAAGCACUUUUAUACUUGAAGACAUGACAAUUAAUAUCUUCUUUCCUUCAAAAAACAUCAAACCAAAAGACCAGAAUCAGAAAUGGACACAAGUCGUUGUUAUUACGACAGGGUGCAUUCCAGUUCUCAUAUCC
rnacentral:misc_RNA from 1 species